GCACCUGGGCCUGGGAACGCACCUAAAGCCAGAGAGCUCCACACCUUACCUGCUCCGUCCCAUUCCACCUGAGCCUCUUCCUCCUCUGCUGGGCACCUGGGCCUGGGAACGCACCUAAAGCCAGAGAGCUCCACACCUUACCUGCUCCGUCCCAUUCCACCUGAGCCUCUUCCUCCUCUGCUGGGCACCU
ensembl:lncRNA